rnacentral:rRNA from 1 species
ACGAACGUUGGCGGCGUGGAUUAGGCAUGCAAGUCGAGCGAAUCCCAUCCUUGUAGCAAUACCGGGGUGGGGGGGGAAAGCGGCGGAAAGGGGCAGUAAUGCGUGGGUAACGUACCCCGGGGGACGUGGAUAGCUAUUCUAACGAGUAGGUAAUACACGGCCGAUUUGGCGAGGGGGCAUCCUCUUGCCAGGAAAUGAAUUUCGCCUCGGGAGCGGCUCACGUGGUAUUAGCUAGUUGGGUGGGGUAAACGGCCCACCAAGGCAAAGAUGCCUAGCAGGUGUGAGAGCACGACCUGCGCCACUGGCACUGAGACACUGGCCAGACACCUACGGGUGGCUGCAGUCGAGGAUCUUUGGCAAUGGGCGCAAGCCUGACCAAGCGACGCCCGCGUGGAGGAUGAAGGCCUUCGGGUUGUAAACUCCUGUCGAGGGGGAUCAAGGGGCAACCUUGAGUGAUCCCUGGAGGAAGCUCGGGCUAAGUUCGUGCCAGCAGCCGCGGUAAGACGAACCGAGCGAACGUUGUUCGGAAUCACUGGGCUUAAAGGGCGUGUAGGCGGCUUACCAAGUCAGGGGUGAAAUUUUUGGCGGCUUAAACCGUAACAGUGCCUUUGAUACUGGUAGGCUCGAGGGGGACAGGGGUCCGCGGAACUUCUGGUGGAGCGGUUGAAAUGCGUUGAUAUCAGAAGGAAACGCCCGGUGGCGGAAAGCGGCGGACUGGAUCCUUUCUGACGCUGAGGCGCGAAAGCUAGGGGGAGCAAACGGGAAUUAGAUACCCCGGUAGUCCUAGCCCUAAACGUUGGGUACUAGAUUGUAAGCGUACAUGCGCCUACAGUCGAAGCAAAAGUGUUAAGUACCCCGCCUGGGGAGUAUGGUCGCAAGGCUGAAACUCAAAGGAAUUGAACGGGGGCCUCACACAAGCGGUGGAGCAUGUGGCUUAAUUCGAGGCUACGCGAAGAACCUUAUCCUAGGCUUGACAUGUGCGAAAAGCGGUAGGAAGUAGCCGCCGGAAACGGCCGGCCAACGGUAUCCAGUCCGGAACCUACUACAGGUGCUGCAUGGCUGUCGUCAGCUCGUGUCGUGAGAUGUCGGGUUAAGUCCCCAUAACGAGCGAAAACCCUUGCCUCUAGUUGCCAGCGGGUCAUGCCGGGGGACUCUAGAGGGACUGCCGGUGUUAAACCGGAGGAAGGUGGGGAUGACGUCAAGUCCUCAUGGCCUUUAUGCCUAGGGCCUGCACACGUGCUACAAUGCCGCGAACAAAGGGACGCAACAGCGCAAGCUUGAGCAAAUCCCAAAAAAACGCGGCCCCAGUUCAGAUCGAAGGCUGCAACUCGCCUUCGUGAAGCCGGAAUCGCUAGUAAUCGCAGGUCAGCAACACUGCGGUGAAUGUGUUCCUGAGCCUUGUACACACCGCCCGUCAAGCCACGAAAGAGAGGGACAUCCGAAGUCGUCUUUACAGACGCCGAAGAUGGACUUCUUGAUUGGGACU